rnacentral:rRNA from 1 species
AUACGGAAGGUCCGGGCGUUAUCCGGAUUUAUUGGGUUUAAAGGGAGCGCAGGCGGAGAUGCAAGCGUGACGUUAAAUUUCGGGGCUCAACCCCGUCUCGCGUCGCGAACUGCGUCCCUUGGUUGCGGGAAGGGGAGGCGGAACUCGUGGUGUAGCGGUGAAAUGCAUAGAUAUCACGAAGAACUCCGAUCGCGAAGGCAGCCUUCCGGCCCGUCAACGACGCUCAUGCUCGAAGGUGCGGGUAUCAAACAGGAUUAGAUACCCUGGUAGUCCGUACAGUAAACGAUGGACACCCGCGGUUUGGCCUGUAUGGCUGAGCCGCCAAGCGAAAGCGUUAAGUGUCCCACCUGGGGAGUACGCCGGCAACGGUGAAACUCAAAUGAAUUGGCGGGG